rnacentral:lncRNA from 1 species
AUGCCAGGGCCUGGGGGAGGAUUGCAGCGGCGGGUGCAGGAGGGCUCACGUGCUGCGAGGCCGCGGGAGGGUUUGCGCUUCAGAGGGUGCAGGAGGUUUUGCAUCCGGUGGUGGGAUUUGCACAUAGGGUGCAGGUGGGUUUGCCUGUCCCGGUUUGCCAAGCAGGGAGCGUUGCUGGGAGCGCAGGCGGUCAGCAGGCCGGGGGGAGCUUGCGGCAUUGCACGGGGCGGGGGGGCCUUGCAGCGGGGGGGCCCAGCGUGGAUCAGCCCUCCCGGCCUGGCAGGGGCCCGGCGGAGCAGCGAUGUGACCCYCAGGGAGCCGCGAUGGCCGUGCCACUCGCAGGAAGGGCCUGGGACCACCCCGCAGCCCCCGCGCCGCACGAGGAGGAGCAGGAGGAGAUGGUCCCCCCCGCGCCACGCGCCACUCGCUGCAGAUGAGACCCCUCGCCCAGGUAGGGCCCACGGGGUCCCCCCCACACCGGGGUACGGCCUCGUGCAGGACCCUGCCUCCCGGCGGGCGCCUGUCCACAGGAGUAUUGGGGCGGUGAGGGGAGAAGAGGUUUCCUGGUGGUUCCUGGGUGGCUCUGAGCCCACGUGUGAGCUGAGCUGGGCAGGUCUCAGCUAUGCCCGUGGCUGGACGCCGGGAUGCAGCCGGUGGGCAGCUGCGUCGCACACCCUCUCCCGGAUCCGUCUUGCCCAUCAGCGUCUCCCGCCGUUUGUUUUAAUGGGAUUUUGCUCCGCGAGCCCAAUCGACUUAGGAGGGUGGGCAGAGGCGAUCGCGGUGUCUCCCGGCACGUUCGCGCCUGGAUUGGGUGUUUGUUUGAGUGGCUUUCGCUCGCGCCGGCAAUGGGAUAAGCCGUCCCUGGAGCUCAGCCCGGCUCCAGGAUCUCCCCGCRCCGGCCGGCCUCGGUCGCCUUGCCCCCGCCAACGCCGCGGGCUUGACCUCCCUCCCCUCCCUGCGAAACCGGGGCCCCCGGCCCCUCGCAGCCCCGCCGCGGCCCCGGGAACCCCAGCGAAGGCCGCACUCUCAUGUGACCCUCGAUUUCGUAAGCCGCUCUGCCGGGGAGCUAAUCCAAUUUUGCAGCCAGCGCAGGCUUUCCCGGCAAGCCGGUGCCCGGGGAGCCAAGUGGGUGAUGCUGGCGGCAAGAGCCGGUGA